UUAAUUAACUAGGGGCGCAAUUUGCUGAGACGGCUACCGCCGAACCCUUUGAACCUGUGAGCUAACCCUCGCGUAGGAAAGUUAACGAAACCGAUA
rnacentral:ncRNA from 2 species